UGGGGAAUUUUGGACAAUGGGCGAAAGCCUGAUCCAGCAAUGCCGCGUGUGUGAAGAAGGCCUUCGGGUUGUAAAGCACUUUUGUCCGGAAAGAAAUCCUUGGCUCUAAUACAGUCGGGGGAUGACGGUACCGGAAGAAUAAGCACCGGCUAACUACGUGCCAGCAGCCGCGGUAAUACGUAGGGUGCAAGCGUUAAUCGGAAUUACUGGGCGUAAAGCGUGCGCAGGCGGUUUGCUAAGACCGAUGUGAAAUCCCCGGGCUCAACCUGGGAACUGCAUUGGUGACUGGCAGGCUAGAGUAUGGCAGAGGGGGUAGAAUUCCACGUGUAGCAGUGAAAUGCGUAGAGAUGUGGAGGAAUACCGAUGGCGAAGGCAGCCCCCUGGGCCAAAUACUGACGCUCAUGCACGAAAGCGUGGGGAGCAAACAGGAUUAGAUACCCUGGUAGUCCACGCCCUAAACGAUGUCAACUAGUUGUUGGGGAUUCAUUUCCUUAGUAACGUAGCUAACGCGUGAAGUUGACCGCCUGGGGAGUACGGUCGCAAGAUUAAAACUCAAAUGAAUUGAC
rnacentral:rRNA from 1 species